UGUCUAGGUAAGAGUACCGG
rnacentral:snRNA from 1 species